GCAAAAAUACUAAACACAAGAGGGAGAAGGCCACCGCUCUAGCCUGAGACAUCCCCAGCUGGUGGGGCGGUGUCGGACCACGGAGAGCCGCGCCUGCGCACUACAGACUCCGAAGCCAGGGCGACCUCAGGGAGGUGGGCGGGACUGCCCGGGCAUCCGGGUCCCUCACCCCGCCCCCGCUGCAUGAAUGAGAGGCCCGGCGCCCGCCCCUCCCCCUCCGGGCCCGCCCCUCGCCGGGGCGCCGCGGGCAGUCUGCCGCUGCCACCUCAGCCCCGCUCGGUGCCGACUGACGCCCGCCGCUCACCACCCGGAGCUGACGGUCCCAACACGGUCGCCGCCGCCGCUGCCGGCACGACAGACCCAGCUCAAUGGCUCCGCUUACAGGACUGCUGGAAAACAGAUCACCUUUUAUCGUCGUCAUCCCAAGAGAGAGGAGGAAGCUCUGCAGGUUCCCACAGACUUUGGCUCUGGGGGACUGACUGCCUGACUUUGUUGUCUUGGUGAAGUUGUGAGGAGUCACAGUUGAUGUGGACCAAUUAAAAAGAAGCAACUGUAAUAGCACCAGCUAUUCCUUGCUGUUUCACUUGGACCUUUUUCUCUUUUAAACCAGAUUUUAUAAGUUUUAGAAGACGGUUGCAUUUUCGGUUUCUUUUUUACACUUAUAAUUUUGCAGACUGACAGGAAAUUAGCUAAACUCUGUUACUAUAAGAAACAUACUUCCAAAAUAUAUUUUUCUUAUGAUCUUUUGAUUCAAAAUAGCAACGGUAAAAAAAAUUAAGAGGAGCUUAUUAGAGGAUAUGAAUAGUUGAAUUGAUUCAGUUUUAAGGUUCUCUUUAAGAUUAUUUUUUAAUCACAUAUAUUUUAAUUCCUGGUAGUUUUCAGUGCAAAAUGAAAGCUAAACUAAGCAGUCUUCCAUAGCAUCUGUUUAUGUAUAUUCCGUCUGUUAAAAACAUUUGCUUUUAAUUUGAAGGGGAAAUUUUCCAUUUGGUUGGAACGGGAUCCAUUAUUCUUGGUAAAAAUCUUACCUUAUGUUAACAUGAUCAAAUUCUUUUUU
rnacentral:lncRNA from 1 species